rnacentral:rRNA from 1 species
AGCGAACGCUGGCGGCAGGCUUAACACAUGCAAGUCGAGCGCCCCGCAAGGGGAGCGGCUGACGGGAGCGUAACACGUGGGAACAUACCUUUUGGUUCGGAACAACUCAGGGAAACUUCAGCUAAUACCGGAUAAGCCCUUACGGGGAAAGAUUUAUCGCCGAAAGAUUGGCCCGCGUCUGAUUAGCUAGUUGGUGAGGUAACGGCUCACCAAGGCGACGAUCAGUAGCUGGUCUGAGAGGAUGAUCAGCCUCACUGGGACUGAGACACGGCCCAGACUCCUACGGGAGGCAGCAGUGGGGAAUAUUGGACAAUGGGGGCAACCCUGAUCCAGCCAUGCCGCGUGAGUGAUGAAGGCCUUAGGGUUGUAAAGCUCUUUUGCCCGGGAAGAUAAUGACGGUACCGGGAGAAUAAGCCCCGGCUAACUUCGUG